GGUUAAGCGACUAAGCGUACACGGUGGAUGCCCUGGCAGUCAGAGGCGAUGAAGGACGUGCUAAUCUGCGAUAAGCGUCGGUAAGGUGAUAUGAACCGUUAUAACCGGCGAUUUCCGAAUGGGGAAACCCAGUGUGAUUCGUCACACUAUCAUUAACUGAAUCCAUAGGUUAAUGAGGCGAACCGGGGGAACUGAAACAUCUAAGUACCCCGAGGAAAAGAAAUCAACCGAGAUUCCCCCAGUAGCGGCGAGCGAACGGGGAGCAGCCCAGAGCCUGAAUCAGUGUGUGUGUUAGUGGAAGCGUCUGGAAAGGCGUGCGAUACAGGGUGACAGCCCCGUACACAAAAAUGCACAUACUGUGAGCUCGAUGAGUAGGGCGGGACACGUGGUAUCCUGUCUGAAUAUGGGGGGACCAUCCUCCAAGGCUAAAUACUCCUGACUGACCGAUAGUGAACCAGUACCGUGAGGGAAAGGCGAAAAGAACCCCGGCGAGGGGAGUGAAAAAGAACCUGAAACCGUGUACGUACAAGCAGUGGGAGCACGCUUAGGCGUGUGACUGCGUACCUUUUGUAUAAUGGGUCAGCGACUUAUAUUCUGUAGCAAGGUUAACCGAAUAGGGGAGCCGAAGGGAAACCGAGUCUUAACUGGGCGUUAAGUUGCAGGGUAUAGACCCGAAACCCGGUGAUCUAGCCAUGGGCAGGUUGAAGGUUGGGUAACACUAACUGGAGGACCGAACCGACUAAUGUUGAAAAAUUAGCGGAUGACUUGUGGCUGGGGGUGAAAGGCCAAUCAAACCGGGAGAUAGCUGGUUCUCCCCGAAAGCUAUUUAGGUAGCGCCUCGUGAAUUCAUCUCCGGGGGUAGAGCACUGUUUCGGCAAGGGGGUCAUCCCGACUUACCAACCCGAUGCAAACUGCGAAUACCGGAGAAUGUUAUCACGGGAGACACACGGCGGGUGCUAACGUCCGUCGUGAAGAGGGAAACAACCCAGACCGCCAGCUAAGGUCCCAAAGUCAUGGUUAAGUGGGAAACGAUGUGGGAAGGCCCAGACAGCCAGGAUGUUGGCUUAGAAGCAGCCAUCAUUUAAAGAAAGCGUAAUAGCUCACUGGUCGAGUCGGCCUGCGCGGAAGAUGUAACGGGGCUAAACCAUGCACCGAAGCUGCGGCAGCGACGCUUAUGCGUUGUUGGGUAGGGGAGCGUUCUGUAAGCCUGUGAAGGUGUGCUGUGAGGUAUGCUGGAGGUAUCAGAAGUGCGAAUGCUGACAUAAGUAACGAUAAAGCGGGUGAAAAGCCCGCUCGCCGGAAGACCAAGGGUUCCUGUCCAACGUUAAUCGGGGCAGGGUGAGUCGACCCCUAAGGCGAGGCCGAAAGGCGUAGUCGAUGGGAAACAGGUUAAUAUUCCUGUACUUGGUGUUACUGCGAAGGGGGGACGGAGAAGGCUAUGUUGGCCGGGCGACGGUUGUCCCGGUUUAAGCGUGUAGGCUGGUUUUCCAGGCAAAUCCGGAAAAUCAAGGCCGAGGCGUGAUGACGAGGCACUACGGUGCUGAAGCAACAAAUGCCCUGCUUCCAGGAAAAGCCUCUAAGCAUCAGGUAACAUCAAAUCGUACCCCAAACCGACACAGGUGGUCAGGUAGAGAAUACCAAGGCGCUUGAGAGAACUCGGGUGAAGGAACUAGGCAAAAUGGUGCCGUAACUUCGGGAGAAGGCACGCUGAUACGUAGGUGAAGCGACUUGCUCGUGGAGCUGAAAUCAGUCGAAGAUACCAGCUGGCUGCAACUGUUUAUUAAAAACACAGCACUGUGCAAACACGAAAGUGGACGUAUACGGUGUGACGCCUGCCCGGUGCCGGAAGGUUAAUUGAUGGGGUUAGCGCAAGCGAAGCUCUUGAUCGAAGCCCCGGUAAACGGCGGCCGUAACUAUAACGGUCCUAAGGUAGCGAAAUUCCUUGUCGGGUAAGUUCCGACCUGCACGAAUGGCGUAAUGAUGGCCAGGCUGUCUCCACCCGAGACUCAGUGAAAUUGAACUCGCUGUGAAGAUGCAGUGUACCCGCGGCAAGACGGAAAGACCCCGUGAACCUUUACUAUAGCUUGACACUGAACAUUGAGCCUUGAUGUGUAGGAUAGGUGGGAGGCUUUGAAGUGUGGACGCCAGUCUGCAUGGAGCCGACCUUGAAAUACCACCCUUUAAUGUUUGAUGUUCUAACGUGGACCCGUGAUCCGGGUUGCGGACAGUGUCUGGUGGGUAGUUUGACUGGGGCGGUCUCCUCCUAAAGAGUAACGGAGGAGCACGAAGGUUGGCUAAUCCUGG
rnacentral:rRNA from 1 species